rnacentral:rRNA from 1 species
GACGAACCGAGCGAACGUUGUUCGGAAUCACUGGGCUUAAAGGGCGCGUAGGCGGGUGCUCAAGUCCGGGGUGAAAUCCCACAGCUCAACUGUGGAAUUGCCUCGGAUACUGGGCGUCUCGAGGGUGGCAGGGGUAUGCGGAACUAUCGGUGGAGCGGUGAAAUGCGUUGAUAUCGAUAGGAACUCCGGUGGCGAAGGCGGCAUACUGGUCCACUUCUGACGCUGAGGCGCGAAAGCCAGGGGAGCAAACGGG